AGCGGGUAACUUCUGGUGGAUUGUGGACGAGUGAGAAUGCAGGCAUGAGUAGCGAAAGACGGGUGAGAAACCCGUCCGCCGGAUGACUAAGGGUUCCAGGGUCAAGCUAAUCUGCCCUGGGUAAGUCGGGACCUAAGGCGAGGCCGACAGGCGUAGUCGAUGGACAACGGGGUUGAUAUUCCCGUACCAGUGAAGAACCGCCCCAUGCUGAGCCGGUGAUACUAACCGCCCGAACCAUCCCGAACCUCUCUUUGACGGGGGACGGUGGUGGGGGAGCGCGGGACCUGAACCGGGGGAGGCAAGCGCAUUAACAGGUGUGACGCAGGAAGGUAGCCGGGCCGGGCAAUGGAAAUGACCUGGUCUAAGGGUGUAGGGCUGCCGGUAGGUAAAUCCGCCGGCUGUAUGCCUGAGACCUGAUCGG
rnacentral:rRNA from 1 species